UAGGGAAUCUUCCGCAAUGGGCGAAAGCCUGACGGAGCAACGCCGCGUGAGUGAUGAAGGUCUUCGGAUCGUAAAACUCUGUUAUUAGGGAAGAACAAAAGUGUAAGUAACUAUGCACGUCUUGACGGUACCUAAUCAGAAAGCCACGGCUAACUACGUGCCAGCAGCCGCGGUAAUACGUAGGUGGCAAGCGUUAUCCGGAAUUAGUGGGCGUAAAGCGCGCGUAGGCGGUUUUUUAAGUCUGAUGUGAAAGCCCACGGCUCAACCGUGGAGGGUCAGUGGAAACUGGAAAACUUGAGUGCAGAAGAGGAAAGUGGAAUUCCAUGUGUAGCGGUGAAAUGCGCAGAGAUAUGGAGGAACACAAGUGGCGAAGGCGACUUUCUGGUCUGUAACUGACGCUGAUGUGCGAAAGCGUGGGGAUCAAACAGG
rnacentral:rRNA from 1 species